GGUGGUGCAUGGUUGUCGUCAGCUCGUGUCGUGAGAUGUUGGGUUAAGUCCCGCAACGAGCGCAACCCUUAUCUUCAGUAGCCAGCAAUUCGGUUGGGCACUCUGGAGAGACUGCCAGGGAUAACCUGGAGGAAGGUGGGGAUGACGUCAAAUCAUCAUGCCCCUUAUGAUUUGGGCUACACACGUGCUACAAUGGCGUAAACAAAGGGAAGCAGCCCUGCGAAGGUGAGCAAAUCCCAAAAAUAACGUCUCAGUUCGGAUUGUAGUCUGCAACUCGACUACAUGAAGCUGGAAUCGCUAGUAAUCGCGAAUCAGAAUGUCGCGGUGAAUACGUUCCCGGGUCUUGUACACACCGCCCGUCACACCAUGGGAGUCGGAAAUGCCCGAAGUCAGUGACCCAACCGCAAGGAGGGAGCUGCCGAAGGUGGAGCCGGUAACUGGGGUGAAGUCGUAACAAGGUAGCCGUAUCGGAAGGUGCGGCUGGAUCACCUC
rnacentral:rRNA from 1 species